CCUCUCUCAGGAUUGUACCUGGAGAGUUUCCAAUACUCUACCAGUCCCACCUACCGGAGGGAGAGUCAAGCAGAGGCAUACCCAUUCCAUUCCUAGCUUGGGCAGUGGCUGGUGAGUGGAAGGCAAUCUGCUACAAGU